rnacentral:rRNA from 1 species
UACGAAGGGGGCUAGCGUUGCUCGGAAUCACUGGGCGUAAAGGGCGCGUAGGCGGCCAUUCAAGUCGGGGGUGAAAGCCUGUGGCUCAACCACAGAAUUGCCUUCGAUACUGUUUGGCUUGAGUAUGGUAGAGGUCGGUGGAACUGCGAGUGUAGAGGUGAAAUUCGUAGAUAUUCGCAAGAACACCAGUGGCGAAGGCGGCCGACUGGACCAUUACUGACGCUGAGGCGCGAAAGCGUGGGGAGCAAACAG